rnacentral:rRNA from 1 species
AAUGGAUAAUGCCCAUAUCCGAGAAGACCAAGCCCUGGCCACCAGUGCCCGCAAGGGGUGAGAAGUGUGGGUUUGUGUCCUGCGGCUACCCAUGAUCACCGUGCGCGCUUGCCCAGGCAUCUGAACCAGCAGCGUCCAACGGGCGACGCGUCUAUGGCCAUGGCAACCACCUCCUCCCGACUCACCACCACCCAGUACUCCUUCCUCUCCUCCACGCCAUGCUCGCCCACCACCAUGGCGGCGCUCCCGCGGCGGCGGAGAGCCGGCGCGCGGUACCCACGUAUCCAGGCCAUCGAGUUCGACCAGAACACGGUUGUGGCCAUAACUGUCGGCGUCGUCAGCGUCGCCGCGGGGAUCGGCAUCCCGAUUUUCUACGAGAAUCAAAUUGACAAUUCCGCAAAGAGAGACAACAACCAGCCGUGCUUCCCCUGCAGCGGCUCCGGCGCGCAGGUAUGCAGGUUUUGCACGGGAGCAGGGACUGUUACUGUAGUAAUCGGCAAUGGUGAAUCUGAAGUAUCGAAGUGUGUCAACUGCGAUGGCAUUGGCUCAUUGACAUGCACCACGUGCCAAGGUAGUGGCAUUCAGCCACGCUAUCUUGAUCGCAGGGAGUUCAAGGAUGAUGAUGACUGAAGAUUUUUUCGUUACGAGCUAACGACGGUAAGGUGAGGAAUCUGAUAUCUAAUGAUGAUCCUGAAUACUUGGUGACGAUGUGUCCAUCAGGAAUGAUAUGAUUGUUUUGUGUUGUAUUAUAUUUCCUCUCCUUUUUUGGUAAAUGUGUAUGGAUGUACAUGCACACUCUUUUGAUGUCUGAAAAUGACUGUCCCUCAGUGGGCAAAGAUGAUAUUUUCUUGUUGAAAGUUCUCAAUAUAUGUCACAUAGCGUGUUCUUUCCAAUGUAGAAGUUAGUAGCUGACUCUGCAUUGCGUUGGUGCUUAUAUUAUGGAGUAGCCAAGUUAUAUGCCACAAUCUUUAGGAUGUCAACUUUUCAGCCAAAUGGUUAGUGGAUGUAACACAAUAGUGGAAACCAAAUCCAGGGCUUCUGAGCACAGUGAGGGCACUGUUGACCUAAGAGCACAGAUCAUCUCUUGUAAAACUUACGUGUACAUGAAUAUGGCUAUAUAUAUUCUUU